ACUCCUACGGGAGGCAGCAGUGGGGAAUUUUGCGCAAUGGGGGAAACCCUGACGCAGCAACGCCGCGUGAGUGAUGAAGGCCCUUGGGUCGUAAAGCUCUGACAGAGGGAAAGAAAUGUGGGUGGCUAAUAUCCAUACCACUUGACGGUACCCUCAAAGGAAGCACCGGCUAACUCCGUGCCAGCAGCCGCGGUAAUACGGAGGGUGCGAGCGUUGUUCGGAUUUAUUGGGCGUAAAGCGCGUGUAGGCGGUUUUAUAAGUCUGAUGUGAAAGCCCCGGGCUCAACCUGGGAAGUGCAUUGGAUACUGUAAGACUUGAAUACGGGAGAGGGCAGUGGAAUUCCUAGUGUAGGAGUGAAAUCCGUAGAUAUUAGGAGGAACACCGGUGGCGAAGGCGGCUGCCUGGACCGAUAUUGACGCUGAGACGCGAAAGCGUGGGUAGCAAACAGGAUUAGAUACCCUGGUAGUCCACGCUGUAAACGAUGAGAACUAGGUGUUGCGGGUA
rnacentral:rRNA from 1 species